CCUACGGGAGGCAGCAGUGAGGAAUAUUGGUCAAUGGACGAGAGUCUGAACCAGCCAAGUAGCGUGAAGGAUGACUGCCCUAUGGGUUGUAAACUUCUUUUAUAUGGGAAUAAAAUGUUCCACGUGUGGGAUUUUGUAUGUACCAUAUGAAUAAGGAUCGGCUAACUCCGUGCCAGCAGCCGCGGUAAUACGGAGGAUCCGAGCGUUAUCCGGAUUUAUUGGGUUUAAAGGGGGCGUAGGGGGAUUGUUAAGUCAGUUGUGAAAGUUUGGGGCUCAACCGUAAAAUUGCAGUUGAAACUGGCAGUCUUGAGUACAGUAGAGGUGGGCGGAAUUCGUGGUGGAGCGGUGAAAUGCUUAGAGAUCACGAAGAACUCCGAUUGCGAAGGCAGUUCACUGGACUGCAACUGACACUGAGGCUCGAAAGUGUGGGUAUCAAACAGGAUUAGAUACCCGGGUAGUC
rnacentral:rRNA from 1 species